UUCUAUGGCGGUUCAGGCAGGGGAGGCUUCGGCCUCGCCGGAUUGGUUGAUCUCCGGUAUUGCGAACCCUGCCUUGAAUCGCCACCAUC
rnacentral:antisense_RNA from 1 species